rnacentral:rRNA from 1 species
CUGCUUCGCUGACGAGUGGCGGACGGGUGAGUAAUGUCUGGGAAACUGCCUGAUGGAGGGGGAUAACUACUGGAAACGGUGGCUAAUACCGCAUAACGUCGCAAGACCAAAGAGGGGGACCUUCGGGCCUCUUGCCAUCAGAUGUGCCCAGAUGGGAUUAGCUUGUUGGUGAGGUAACGGCUCACCAAGGCGACGAUCCCUAGCUGGUCUGAGAGGAUGACCAGCCACACUGGAACUGAGACACGGUCCAGACUCCUACGGGAGGCAGCAGUGGGGAAUAUUGCACAAUGGGCGCAAGCCUGAUGCAGCCAUGCCGCGUGUAUGAAGAAGGCCUUCGGGUUGUAAAGUACUUUCAGCGGGGAGGAAGGUGUUGUGGUUAAUAACCGCAGCAAUUGACGUUACCCGCAGAAGAAGCACCGGCUAACUCCGUGCCAGCAGCCGCGGUAAUACGGAGGGUGCAAGCGUUAAUCGGAAUUACUGGGCGUAAAGCGCACGCAGGCGGUCUGUCAAGUCGGAUGUGAAAUCCCCGGGCUCAACCUGGGAACUGCAUUCGAAACUGGCAGGCUUGAGUCUUGUAGAGGGGGGUAGAAUUCCAGGUGUAGCGGUGAAAUGCGUAGAGAUCUGGAGGAAUACCGGUGGCGAAGGCGGCCCCCUGGACAAAGACUGACGCUCAGGUGCGAAAGCGUGGGGAGCAAACAGGAUUAGAUACCCUGGUAGUCCACGCCGUAAACGAUGUCUACUUGGAGGUUGUGCCCUUGAGGCGUGGCUUCCGGAGCUAACGCGUUAAGUAGACCGCCUGGGGAGUACGGCCGCAAGGUUAAAACUCAAAUGAAUUGACGGGGGCCCGCACAAGCGGUGGAGCAUGUGGUUUAAUUCGAUGCAACGCGAAGAACCUUACCUGGUCUUGACAUCCACAGAACUUUCCAGAGAUGGAUUGGUGCCUUCGGGAACUGUGAGACAGGUGCUGCAUGGCUGUCGUCAGCUCGUGUUGUGAAAUGUUGGGUUAAGUCCCGCAACGAGCGCAAC